rnacentral:tRNA from 1 species
GGUAAGGUGGCUGAUUAAGGUGAUGGAUUGUAAAUCUAUUUAUAGGGUUUUCUUCUUACUA